AGUCUUAUAUUCAAAAAUGAUUUUAAAUUGCAAAUUUAAAGGUAACUUAAAGUUUAAGGCUU
rnacentral:tRNA from 1 species